AUACGGGGGUUGCAAGCGUUAUUCGGAUUUAUUGGGCGUAAAGGGCGCGUAGGCGGCUUGGAAAGUCAGAUGUGAAAGCCCGGGGCUCAACCCCGGAAGUGCAUUUGAAACUAUCAGGCUUGAGUAUGGGAGAGGGAAGUGGAAUUCCUGGUGUAGAGGUGAAAUUCGUAGAUAUCAGGAGGAACACCGGUGGCGAAGGCGACUUCCUGGACCAAUACUGACGCUGAGGCGCGAAGGCGUGGGGAGCAAACAGGAUUAGAAACCCGAGUAGUCC
rnacentral:rRNA from 1 species